rnacentral:lncRNA from 1 species
CAGAAUUCCACCUUCCUGCCUUACUUUGAACUCCUUUUUCUAGGGAUUACUGACAAAUCCACACGGGCUGAUCUCCAGAAAGACCGGUCAAAGUGUUGCCGUGAGAAGGGCUGGUGAUAUGAGCCACUCAGAACUUCACUAUGAAACGGAAAGCCAAAACUCAGUUUGCCCUUCCCAUGGUCUUUCCUCAGGCUCUACUUAGAGCUGAAGGUCACCAAGGACAUCAUCUUUAGAUGCAGAAUCCACCUUUUAUUAUCUUCAAUAAACUCACCAACAAAAUACUGGAAUUCAUUUGCCAUCUAUAAGCCUUGAUGAUCCAGUUCCGGUUCAAGGGGAGGUCUUUCAGUCACUGGAGGAAUGGGACCAGGCUUUUACAAAAUGAACAGCAUCUAUACAACUUUUAUCAAGAUGUAACAGGAUGAUCUCAGCAUUUUGACUGAUCAAGGUGAUCUUGUGGCUGAGAAGAGCUCUGACCACUGAAUACCUCUCUGCCCUCAGUGCCUGCUGCCCUACUGGCUCGCCAUCGGUAUGCCUGUAGCUCAAGGACAGCACCACAGCUUAUGCUUUCCUCGCCUAACCAGAGUAAGCAGCAGAGCAGGCUGCAGCAGUGGUGGCUCAUGCAGCGAGAUGGGUCCCCUGGCUCAGGCAGGCUGAGCGAGGUCCGUACUCUGCUGCGGGCAGAGCUCCUAUACCUGUCUCUAGAUUCACCAUUCUCCACUGCGCACGGCUCUUUUCUUCCGAUUUCCUAAGACCACUUUUGAAAAGCUUCUUCCUGUAAGUCUGCCUUUCCAGAGAUACUGCGGACUCUGCAGACUCCUCCUCUGCCACUGGUCUCCCUUUGGAGCCUCCGUGGGUCUCUCAGGGUCCUUGGAGCUGCUCCGUGGUCCCUUGGGUGCUGGCGGGCAACACCAUCUUGAAUCGAAUCAACAGGGGACCUCUUCAUACUUAGUUAUCUCUAGCUGGAAAAAAAGAUUAAGGUUUGUGUCCCUACACUCAUCUUUUAUAAUUGUACAAU